rnacentral:lncRNA from 1 species
CAGUCGACGAUAUUCUCAUUUUAAAAUUUAAAUGUAUCGUGCAUCUUUAAAUAUUUAAUUAGUAUACUUCAUACAAUUUUUUAAUUAUAGUUUAUUAAAGUAAAUUAAAUAAUUAGCUUAAAUUUUGAAGCUAAAGUACGUAUCAUUCUUUACUCAAAUAAAAUAAAUUGAAAGAUUGUGUGAUAAAAACUCAGACUUUUAAAAAGAUUGAAUAACUGUUUUAAACGAGUUCAUAGUUCCGAUAAGUU